rnacentral:rRNA from 1 species
UGAGCAACCUGCCCUGAGAGGGGGACGAACAAGUUGGAAACGACUGCUAAUACCGCAUGAUGUGUCGGGAGGGCAUCCUCUUGACACCAAAGAUUUAUCGCCUUGGGAUGGGCUCAUGUCUGAUUAGCUAGUUGGUGGGGUAACGGCCUACCAAGGCUGCGAUCAGUAGCCGGACUGAGAGGUUGAACGGCCACAUUGGGACUGAGAUACGGCCCAGACUCCUACGGGAGGCAGCAGUGGGGAAUAUUGGGCAAUGGGCGAAAAACGCCUGACCCAGCAACGCCGCGUGAAGGAAGAAGGCCUUCGGGUUGUAAACUUCUUUUAUGGAGGGACGAAGGACGUGACGGUACCUCAUGAAUAAGCCACGGCUAACUACGUGCCAGCCGCUGC